UACAGAGGGUGCGAGCGUUAUUCGGAAUUACUGGGCGUAAAGCGCGCGUAGGCGGCUUUGCAAGUCGGGUGUGAAAUCCCCAGGCUCAACCUGGGAACUGCAUUCGAGACUGCAUUGCUAGAGUAUGGGAGAGGGAAGUGGAAUUUCCGGUGUAGCGGUGAAAUGCGUAGAUAUCGGAAGGAACAUCAGUGGCGAAAGCGACUUCCUGGACCAAUACUGACGCUCAUGUGCGAAAGCGUGGGGAGCAAACAGG
rnacentral:rRNA from 1 species